rfam:Streptomyces griseofuscus strain NG1-7 NG1-17_2_1, whole genome shotgun sequence.
CUUCAACGAACCCAACCACAACGGCCGGCCCUCCGACCGCUCCUGACCGUAGGUGGCGAUCAGCGCCUGCGCCUC